ensembl:lincRNA
UCUGGCUUCUCUGAUGAGCAGUGUGUAUUAUCCUCCAGUCAGAACUGGCCGCAGUGUCUGGGGCUCAGUCUGCCUCCAGCCUGCACCCAGGCCGAGUGAUGGCGUGGAUUAUAUUGUGGUGAAUGUGACGAGUGGCCUGAAAGGUGACAUGGCUGGACGUUACUCCAGGUGCAUAAGAUGAUGGAGGCAGAGCAGCAGCUUAUUGAUGUGAGGGCCUGGAGAGGGAGCUGGGUGGGGAGAGCGGGUGGCUAAAGAGCCAGAGGGGGGGCUAUGCAGGGAGCCGGGGGCCACCAUGAUGGUUCUUAACCCCAGCUGCUUUGCUUUCGCCAGGACCACUUCCUGUUUGUUAAGCCUGUGUUCCUACUGCUGCCCCAGCAGGAAUGGCUCGAAACUGGCUGGCUGCUUGUGAAAUGAGGCUGCUUUUUAUCUCUUUCAACCUCCAUGCCAUGAAAUGAUUCUUUUCUCUGUCCCCCAAUUGUCAUCUUGCCCCUUGAAUGCUUUACCACCUGCCCUCGGGCAUCACAGCAAGAAGAGUUCCUUGAUCUGUGGACCCUUGCGCCGGUGCUCACAGCUCAGGACUUGGCUGACAGCCCCAGCCUACACACCAGUGAGACCAGAUAGCGGGCCAGGGCUGAACACCACCUGGAGGUGGGGACAGGUGUUUGUGCAUCUGCGUAGCCCCCAGGUCUCCUGUGGUCACCUUAGGCUCCAGUCCAUCAAACCUUGAGGCAGAUUUGGGGGCAGGAAUGACAGAAAUGGCAAGAGGGGUCAGCCCUGUAUCUGAACCCACGUAGUGCUAAGCCAGGGCUGGGAUGCUGGCUGCGGAAGGAAGGGAGAUGCAUCUGCAUAUCAUGUAGCUGGUAUCGUAGUAAAUAUCCUUUUCGCAUGAGCUGCUUUUAUGCAAUAAUGUGUGUUUAAGCUUCUUCUGUGUCUUUUCAUGUCUUGGUAGCUCAUUUUUUUAGUGCUGAACACCUACUGAAAGACAUCUUGGUUGCUUCCGGGUUUUGGCAAUUAUGAGUAAAGCUGCUAUAAACAUACAUGUGUAGGUUUUUGUGUGAGCUUUAAGUUUUCGGCUCCUUUAGGUAAAUUACCAGGAGCAUGAUAGCUACUUGUAUGGCAAGAGCAUUCUUAGUUUUGUUAGAAACUGCCAAAUAGUCUUCCAAAGUGGUUGUAUUAUUUUACAUCCCCGUCAGCAGUGAAUGAGAGUCCCCUUUGCUCCACAUCCUUGCCUGCAUUUGGUAUUCUGAGCAUUCUAGAUUUUGGCCACUCUAAUAUGUACAUAGUGGUAUUUCAUUGUUUUUAAAUUCACAUUUCCACGAUAAUAUGUGUAUUAGUAAGGGUCGUCCAGGGGAACAGAAGCAAUAGAAUGUAUAUGUAGGAAGAGAUGUAUAGACUGGCUUACAAGGUCAUAAGUAGGAGAGUUCUGUAGUGCACAUCUGCAGAAUAGAGAGCCAGGGAAAUCAGCAGCUUUUCAGCUCUGGAAACCAAAAGCCUCAGAACCACAAAGACCAGUGAUAAGCCUUAGUCCAAGACUGAAGGCCUGGAAGCCCUCUAGGGAAUUGCCGAUGCAAAUCUGUGCAAAGGCCGAAGAAUCUGGGGUCUGAUUCCAUGGGCAAUAGCAGGAGCCGACAACGCACCUGCUCGCAAGUGCAGCCUGUGUGCACAUGCCAGCUUCCCCCUUCUUUGGCUUUGUUGUCGCAGCUGGGUCCCCACCUAUUGGACAGUGUCACCUACAUUCAAGGCAGUUCUUUUCCACCUGGUUUGCUGAGCCACAAGCUAAUUAUCUCUGGAAAACACCCUCACAGACAGCAGAAGUGCACUUCCUCAAUUUUCUAGGAGGCUUUCAUUCCAAUUAUGUUGAUAAUCCAUACUAUCCAUUGGAACAUAUGAUAUGAUAUUUUUUCAUGUGUUUACUUGCCAUUUGUAUAUUGUAUGUGCUAGAAUUCCUAUUCCUGAAACAUAAUACCUGACACCCAAGAUUUAAAGAAGGAAAGGUUUAAAUUAGCUCACAGUUCCAGGAGAUUCAGUCCAUAGUUGGUAGGAUCCAAGGCAGAGACAGCACAGCAGAAGGACAUGGUGCAAGUUCAUGGUGCUUAGUUCAUGGUGGCUGGGAGCAGAGCCAGAGAGGGCCGGAGAAAUGAGUGAGGGACCAUGUGUAGUACCCAAGGCCAUCUCCACAACCCGUCCAGACACACCUGUGAGCACACUUUAAUCUGCCAGGUGCUUCUUAAGCCAGUGAAGUUGACAUAUCAGGAGCAAUGGUCACAUAUAUCUUCUUUGGUGUUGUGUCUGUUAAGGCCUUUGGCCCAUUUUUAAAUCAGGUUAGUUUUUUUUUUUAAUUAUAGUUUAAAGAGUUCCUUGCAUGUUUUGGUAAUAGUGCUUUAUCAGAUGUGCCUUUUGCAAAUAUUUUCUUCCAGCCAGUGACUUAUAUUUUCCUUCUAUUGAGGGUCCUGAGUUUUUAAGAGCUAUGAGCUUUAAAUCAAAAGGUUGGAGAACCUCUGCUUCAUGGCAUUUCUCAGUUACCUUUUGCUUCCAAGACAGAACAAGUGUCAUGGAGGAAGAACUGCAUCCUGGGAACUCAAAGCCUUUAACCACAGGAGUGGUUAUUAGGGUCUCAGCAGAUCCUGAGUAUCAGAGACACUCUUGUGUUAAGGAUUUGUGUGUGUGCUAUUGUGAUAAUGUGGGACCUUCUGCAGCAGAGUCUAUGGUCUAAUGGUAGAACUGCAAAGAAGCAAAAAUAAUGAGAAAAUCAGCAGAUUAGCGACACAUUAAAAUUUUCACCCCAGCAACAUGGUGAGACACAACCACGUGUUCCUCUUUUUGCCUUUCCCCCAGUAAACAUUUUAAAAAGUAGAUUUAUUUGAGGUCAUAUGAACUGGCAGAACCUGUUCCUU